UGUAAGCGUAUACCAAAGUUGUUGCAGUUAAAACGCUCGUAGUCGGAAUUUGGCAGUUCCGGAUGUGUGCACGUCGUGUGCGCACUUCGCGGGGAUUGCUUUUGUGGUCUUGCGUAGGAUGAGGCACUUUUAUUAGUGAACGUCCUCACGCAACCACUUUUUACUGUGAGAAAAUCAGAGUGCUCAAAUCAGGCAUUUGCCGUGAAUGUAUUAGCAUGGAAUAAUAGAAUAGGACUUGGUUCUAUUUUGUUGGUUUGUUGGGACUGAGUAAUGAUUAAGAGGGACAGUUGGGGGCAUUUGUAUUUCGGUGCUAGAGGUGAAAUUCUUAGAUUACCGAAAGACAAACUGCUGCGAAAGCGUCUGCCAAGGAUGUUUUCAUUGA
rnacentral:rRNA from 1 species